UGCUGGCAUCUGCCCGUGGCCAUGGCAUCCGCCCGGUAAGCGGAACACUGUGGGUUCGAUUCCCAUCCCUGGACAU